GCAAGUCGAACGAACCCUUCGGGGUUAGUGGCGCACGGGUGCGUAACGCGUGGGAACCUACCAUCAGGUACGGAAUAACAGUUAGAAAUGACUGCUAAUACCGGAUAAUGUCCUCUCACCCAAGAUUUAUCGCCUUUUGAUGGGCCCGCGUUAGAUUAGCUAGUUGGUAAGGUAAAAGCCUACCAAGGCGACGAUCUUUAGCUGGUCUGAGAGGAUGAUC
rnacentral:rRNA from 1 species